GACGAACGCUGGCGGCGUGCUUAACACAUGCAAGUCGAACGGUGAAGCGCCUUCCUUUUUGGUGGGUGUGGAUGAGUGGCGAACGGGUGAGUAACACGUGAGUAACCUGCCCCCUUCUUCUGGAUAACCGCAUGAAAGUGUGGCUAAUACGGGAUAUUCUGGGUCUGUCGCAUGAUGGGUCUGGGAAAGAUAUUGUUUCGGUGGGGGAUGGGCUCGCGGCCUAUCAGCUUGUUGGUGUGGUGAUGGCCUACCAAGGCGGUGACGGGUAGCCGGCCUGGGAGGGUGGACGGUCACACUGGGACUGAGACACGGCGCAGACUCCUACGGGAGGCAGCAGUGGGGAAUAGUGCACAAUGGGCGCAAGCCUGAUGCAGCGACGCCGCGUGAGGGAUGGAGGCCUUCGGGUUGUGAACCUCUUUCGCCAGUGAAGCAGGCCUGCCUCGUUUGUGGGUGGGUUGACGGUAGCUGGAUAAGAAGCGCCGGCUAACUACGUG
rnacentral:rRNA from 1 species